CCUCACUCACAAGCUCUUUCUCAGCCCCAGGUUGAACCUAACGAGUGCAUUCAGUUUAAUGUCCUAAAUCAGUUGAAAUUGAAAGGACGGCGAGAAAUGAAGUUCCGGGCUUUAAGCCCUUCUAGCCCUAAGUCUAAUCCCCGCACCGCAACACAUGGACCUUAAGUCCGCUCUUUUGAGACAGCUUUCAAUAGAACAUAGAGCUCUGCCCUUCUGGCUGUCCUAACGAGUUCACAGCCUUAAUCAAUCCCUUAAACGGAACAGUUAAUCGUAGAGCUGGAGGAAUUCUUUCUGUCCGCUAGUCAGGGGACGCUACGAAUACGGGGGAAUUUUCUAUAUUAGACAAAUAGGGCACUAGAACGCUAUUCUUCCUCCUUCCCCGCUUAGGCCUUAGGGGGCUUAGCUUAGGACAUUAGCAGUAAGACUUCCGCAAGGUAGCAAAAGAAGGCAGUAAUAGUAGCAAAAUCAUUGGCACGCUAGGCCCCCUCUCUAAGAUAAAAUAGGGUAGGCAGGCUACUUGAAUGGACAGAUGGCCGAGCACAAAACAGAUCAGGGCUGCUAGUAAGGAGGGCUGUGAAGCCUUCUAGCAUAAGUGAUGCCUUCCCAAGGUACUGUAAUUGGGGAAACUCGACCGUGGAGAUAAGAAAACCUGUCCUUAACGGGAUGGUGCCCUAACCAUCGGGACUGAUACAGGACUAAUGUUGACCCGACCUUUUUGAUUAGAAAGAGCUUAGCAAACUUAGCGGUCAGAGAUCAGAGACCUUGAAUUUGAUAUGGUCAUCUGAAGCUCCUCCAUGGCUUCCUCGUAAAGUUCAGCUACGCCCGAUGACAAUGUCAUCACCGAGAAUAGCGUACUUAAGGAGUAAGACGAGCCUAGCCUGUAUGAAUUUAUUAUAUAAAGAAGAGCCGCAUUGUAAGAAAAUGGAUAGCAGCCUAUCGGUACAGUAACUUCGUACCUCAGUGAUGACUGAUGAUAUUAAGCCAGGGGAGAUAAAUCAUACUUUUUUCCAUUUCUGAGAUGGAGAGUUCCGAGGCUUGGUAGAGGCCUAAGCGAAGGUAGAAAGGAAUGGGUAAACAGAAUAGAUGUCUCGGAUUAGGAAAACAGGAAACCUAAACCUUCUGUCCGGUCAUAACCCGUUAACUUUUGGAUGGGUAAGAGCACCCCGAAGCGCUACCUGCAGGGGCGCUAGUCAACAGCUAACUGACCAAACAUACCCACCACUAACGGACUUUACAGGCU
rnacentral:lncRNA from 1 species